CGCGGGGUAGAGCAGUUGGUAGCUCGUCGGGCUCAUAACCCGGAGGUCGUAGGUUCAAGUCCUGCCCCCGCAACCA
rnacentral:tRNA from 1 species